CCCUUAGAUGUUCUGGGCUGCACACGCGCUACACUGAAGGGAUCAGCGUGUUCUUUUCCUGGUCCGAAAGGAUCGGGUAACCCGCUGAACCCCCUUCGUGGUAGGGAUCGGAGCUUGCAAUUAUUCUCCGUGAACCAGGAAUUCCCAGUAAGCGCAAGUCAUAAGCUUGCGUUGAUUACGUCCCUGCCCUUUGUACACACCGCCCGUCGCUACUACCGAUUGGACGUUUUAGUGAGGAUUUUGGACUGAGCCAAUGGUGGUUCACACCACUGUUGUGCAUGGAAAGAUCUCCAAACUUGAGCGUUUAGAGGAAGUAAAAGUCGUANCA
rnacentral:rRNA from 1 species